GUCGAGCGGAAACGAGUUGUCUGAACCUUCGGGGAACGAUAACGGCGUCGAGCGGCGGACGGGUGAGUAAUGCCUGGGAAAUUGCCCUGAUGUGGGGGAUAACCAUUGGAAACGAUGGCUAAUACCGCAUAAUAGCUUCGGCUCAAAGAGGGGGACCUUCGGGCCUCUCGCGUCAGGAUAUGCCCAGGUGGGAUUAGCUAGUUGGUGAGGUAAUGGCUCACCAAGGCGACGAUCCCUAGCUGGUCUGAGAGGAUGAUCAGCCACACUGGAACUGAGACACGGUCCAGACUCCUACGGGAGGCAGCAGUGGGGAAUAUUGCACAAUGGGCGCAAGCCUGAUGCAGCCAUGCCGCGUGUAUGAAGAAGGCCUUCGGGUUGUAAAGUACUUUCAGCAGUGAGGAAGGUGGUAGUGUUAAUAGCACUAUCAUUUGACGUUAGCUGCAGAAGAAGCACCGGCUAACUCCGUGCCAGCAGCCGCGGUAAUACGGAGGGUGCGAGCGUUAAUCGGAAUUACUGGGCGUAAAGCGCAUGCAGGUGGUUUGUUAAGUCAGAUGUGAAAGCCCGGGGCUCAACCUCGGAAUAGCAUUUGAAACUGGCAGACUAGAGUACUGUAGAGGGGGGUAGAAUUUCAGGUGUAGCGGUGAAAUGCGUAGAGAUCUGAAGGAAUACCGGU
rnacentral:rRNA from 1 species